AGUGAACGCUGGCGGUAGGCCUAACACAUGCAAGUCGAACGGCAGCACAGUAAGAGCUUGCUCUUACGGGUGGCGAGUGGCGGACGGGUGAGGAAUACAUCGGAAUCUACUUUUUCGUGGGGGAUAACGUAGGUAAACUUACGCUAAUACCGCAUACGACCUACGGGUGAAAGCAUGGGAUCUUCGGACCUUUCGCGGUUGAAUGAGCCGAUGUCGGAUUAGCUAGUUGGCGGGGUAAAGGCCCACCAAGGCGACGAUCCGUAGCUGGUCUGAGAGGAUGAUCAGCCACACUGGAACGGAGACACGGUCCAGACUCCUACGGGAGGCAGCAGUGGGGAAUAUUGGACAAUGGGCGCAAGCCUGAUCCAGCCAUACCGCGUGGGUGAAGAAGGCCUUCGGGUUGUAAAGACCUUUUGUUGGGAAAGAAAAGCAGCAGGUUAAUACCCCGCUGUUCUGACGGUACCCAAAGAAUAAGCACCGGCUAACUUCGUG
rnacentral:rRNA from 1 species